UUUAUUUCUAUGUUUUGGAGAAGAAGAAGAAGAAGAUAUCUCCCACUAUCCAGCUAGUCGGAGUGGUCUAUCGCUUGCUUUGACCGCUGAUUGUUACUGAUAAUCAUCCCAAACAACUCCUUCUUUUUAUAUUAGAAGAAAUAGCUAUAUGAAGAGUCUCCGGUGUAAAGGGGAAACGGCUCCAACUCACGAUGGAAGACUGCUUGCACACUUCUUCAGAGAACCUGUCUAAGCUGGUCCGCUGGGCCCACAGUCACGGCACCAUCUGUGCUCUCAUCCCGAACCUCAAACACCUGCUUACCGAGGGUUCCCAUGGGAACCUGACCGCCAUGUGGGGGUGCAGCGCGGGCCACGCCUACCACUGGCCCCUCCCCGCCACCUGUAAAACAGGCCAGAAGGAGCGGGGGGGCUGCUUCCAGGACAGCCGAAGCAUCAACUCAGACAGCCUCAGUGUCCAGGGAGGGGCCUCAGCCCGUCAGAGCAGCCCAGGAGGUGAGAGGUUUCUGGGCCGCUCCACCAAGGCCAAGGGAGGUGACAGCAGCCAGACACGGGACUCCUGCGACUUCUCCAACUGCAGCGACGACAACACAGAGGCUGACGACAACACCGAGGAGUAUAACAGCAACCUGUUUGAUAUUGUCUGUGAGUCUUCAGCCACGACGGACGAGGAUGGAGACGUAGACUACGAGCCUCAUCACAGACCCAGGAAGAGGGGUCCCCCGGGAGGCAUGCCCGGCCCCCAGAGACCAGGGUCUGAGGACAGGGGACAGGGGGACAAGUCAGUGAAGAAGAUCAAGCAGGAGACUGCUGAGGACUUUUACACAGUACCUAAAGCCCAGCUAGCAGCAGGGGUAGGUACUGACUCUGGCCUAGCCUCUCACUCAGUCUCCCAGUCCCCAAAACCUAAUAAUUCCCUGUCCCACCAUGCAUUGCCACACAAACCCUUGCAGCUGGACGCCGACUGUUUGGUUGGUGGUGUGUCGUCGUCUCUGCUGGGCCACUCCUUUCCUCACAAACCUCUCCGAGGCUCUAUCUCCAGCUCUGUCUCCAAACCUUCCAUGAUGAGCACUAGUUCUCCCAGACACCAGGACCUGUCUUCGGUGUCGACCCAGGGCCUGAGCACCCUCCCUGGGGCAGGUAGUGAGCUGAUGGAGGACCUGCUGAACCAUGGAGGAUCUGAGGGGCCGUUGGGGAACCUGACUCCCUCCUCUCCCAGUGGGAUGAACCCUGACCUGGACCUCCUGGGAGCAGAGACCAAAGGAGAGGCAACAGUGGGACCAGCUCUGUGUGAGAUAGAGCGGCUGCGAGCGUUGCUGAGUGUUGAGCGGAGCCGCAGUGAGCAGAUGGGGGAGACCAUCUCUAGUCUGAAACAGGACAAGGAGCUGCUGCAGCAGGAACUCACUAAGAAGGCUGAACUCAUCUGUGACUUCCUGCAAGACCAGCUACGACCAGGUACGCUCUUACUACGCCCAGAGAAGAGGCGUGGUCUUUCGUCCAGCCAGAUGGAGCUGGGGACGGGUAGCUCCUCCCACAUGGGGUGGGUUUCCCUGAUGAGGGUGUCGCUUUUGAGAACCCCGCCCUAUUCGACAGCUUUGAGGAGGUGGAGCUCCACAGGGUGAUGAAGAGCUCCAAGAGGAGCAGAGAUGGAGAGAACACACGAGUUAGGAUGAAGAACGUGGUGGGCGUCAUCGCCAGGUACAUGGCGGCCCUGCAGGAGUUCAGACGCAGCGUCUCCAUGAAGGUGGCGUUCGACCGCGUGGGCGUCGACCGCAACACCAUCUCACGGACGGCCGCCAUCGCCGAGCUGAGCCUGGCCGCUCCGGAGGUGUUCCACGCUCUGCCACCUUGGGACGAGAAAGAGGAGACGCUGGCUCACUACGCCCACCGCUGCAGGCAGGCCAUGGACGACACCAUCAGAGCCAAGAUCAAAACCAUGAAAACCAAGGGAGACCUACUGCCCAUAGUCAGCAAAUAACCCCAGAGACGGAAGGUGUGUCCUCGGAUGCCUGUAGGACAAACCAGACCAACACCAUCUGCGGUAGAUUACCUGCUCGGUGUUUUGACAAACGGUGGCAAUUUUAACAUGUAGAAUCGUCAGGAAAUGAACAGAAAAUGGGGGCCGAUGUUCUGUGGUCAAAGGCAAUGGGACGGCUGUGUACGGCCUACGUUCUCGUGUUGGUCUGUCUUGUCCUUAUGAUAAAAGCCUGGUCCACAGAUCUGUUUGUGUUGUCAUGCCAAGUUGGAAGGACGGCACAAACAGGUCUGGGACCAGGCUUGCCCUCUGAUCCCCAGUGAUGCUCGACUGCCAUUUCAAAACAAGUGAAAUGUUGUUAUUGCUCCAUUCCAUUUGUCUGGCCACCCCCACUAUGACCUUAACCCAUCAAUGAUGACAGACACCAUGACUAUCAUUAAAAAACACAUUGUAGUGCACAAAUGUUUGAUUUACUGUAAUGUGUAACAUUUAUUUCGUCUUUUGAACGAUGUGCUAAUGCUUUGAAGUGUUUUAGUAGUGGAGAACAACAUUGGAAAAUACUAUUCAAAUAAGGAUCUUAUUUUUGUCAAAAGAUUUUCCGGUACUUUUGGUGGUCUAUGUAAUUGUUUUUAAAGAGAUUCUCCAGUA